GUCAAAUUCAAUACGUUAAUAAACUAAACGCAUCUCAGCUGUGAAAAAAGUGAGGUAAGCUUUGUGUCGACUGACAAGUUGGGCCGACUUGGAGGUAUUGCGUCUCGGACAAAAUAUAGACUAUCUUGACGGUCUUGCGCCGAAUGACUGGAGCUAACUGGUACGUCAGAAAUUGACCCCAAGACAGCCAAUUCUGAGCUUUUGCCAACUGGCAAAGCGAACGUUUGCAGCGGUUUGCGAGAGACCUCUCGGGGAUUUGUGUCGUUAGGUAAGCGAUCUUCUUUACCUUCAUUGACAUCGACAUACUCCGGAGUUCCCCGGCAACCUUCGUUACGAUUCAGCCCUAUCCAAAUAAGCCGCAUUUGGGCCAAUCGUCCGUAAUAAAUCCUGGAGGAGCCAACUAGACUUGGCGAAACAUUAUCUAAGCUAUCUGUGUUGUUAAAGAGGGAGUGAAUUUGUUGUAGGAGAAAUUUCCGUCUUACUGUGCACAUCACAUUAGGUAAGCCCUUGUAUGC